ensembl:lncRNA
GUGUAGUGUAAUGUAAUGUAGUGUAGUUGUGUGUAGUGUAGUGUAAUGUAAUGUAGUGUAGUGUAGUGUAAUGUAGUGUAGUGUAAUGUAAUGUAAUGUAGUGUAGUGUAGUGUAGUGUAGUGUAGUGUAGUGUAGUGUAGUGUAGUGUAGUGUAGUGUAAUGUAGUGUAGUGUAGUGUAAUGUAGUGUAGUGUAGUGUAGUGUAGUGUAGUGUAGUGUAGUGUAAUGUAGUGUAGUGUAAUGUAGUGUAGUGUAAUGUAGUGUAGUGUAGUGUAGUGUAGUGUAGUGUAGUGUAGUGUAGUGUAGUGUAGUGU